rnacentral:misc_RNA from 1 species
UGUUGGUAAAGGGCCCCCACAAG